GGAUUAGAUACCCUGGUAGUCCACGCCGUAAACGAUGUCAACUAGCUGCUUGUGUCUUUAAGACGUGGGUAGCGCAGCUAACGCACUAAGUUGACCGCCUGGGGAGUACGGCCGCAAGGUUAAAACUCAAAUGAAUUGACGGGGGCCCGCACAAGCGGUGGAGCAUGUGGUUUAAUUCGAUGCAACGCGAAGAACCUUACCUACACUUGACAUCCAGAGAACUUACCAGAGAUGGUUUGGUGCCUUCGGGAACUCUGAGACAGGUGCUGCAUGGCUGUCGUCAGCUCGUGUCG
rnacentral:rRNA from 1 species